rnacentral:rRNA from 1 species
UACGGGGGGGGCAAGCGUUGUUCGGAAUUACUGGGCGUAAAGGGCUCGUAGGCGGCCAACUAAGUCAGACGUGAAAUCCCUCGGCUUAACCGGGGAACUGCAUCUGAUACUGGAUGGCUUGAGAUUGGGAGAGGGAUGCGGAAUUCCAGGUGUAGCGGUGAAAUGCGUAGAUAUGCGGAGGAACACCGAUGGCGAAGGCAAUCCCCUGGGCCUGUACUGACGCUCAUGCACGAAAGCGUGGGGAGCAAACAGG